UCACAAUUUACACACGUUCAUUCACACUUCACACACGAGCUUCUUCCUCACGAGCUCUGCUUCUUUUCUGGUCGCACGAGCUUCCUCUGCCGUGGCCGCCGUUCGCAUCACACGAUCUCUCUGUCAUCCCUUGCGUCGCACGAGCUCCUUCCGCCGCCGCUCUCGUCGCGUCUGCUCCCUUGGUCGCCGUUGUUGCAGAGCUCCCUCUGCCGCUCUCGUCGCGUCUGCUCCCUUCAUUGCCGUCGUCACAGAGCUCUCUCCGCCACCGCUCUUAUCGCGUUUGCUACCUUAGUGAAUUUCAGGUUUAUCAAUUAUUUUACUAUCAGCGAAGAAAGAGAUUCCAGAUUGACAACAACAUAGAGAUGCCAGAGUUAUGCCCGGAAUGGUUAGCAUUGUUGAUCAUUGAGAAGGCUUGUUUAUCUUCCAUUCCUCUUUAUGAAACUUCUGGUGCUGUAUGUAAGACUGGUCAAAAUUUUAAGGAAAAACCAAGGGAGCUUAGAGGACUUGAUGCUGUCUUUGAAAUUACCUUGAAGUGACGGUCGGAUUUGAAGGUGUGAGAUUGUAACCAUCACACCAGGAUGCUCCACCAAAUCACGUUACCCCCAAUGUUGCAACCUCUUUCAUUGAGACACUUGAAGCCAAUGAGCUUCUCAAGCCUGGUCUUGCUGAUGGAGAUUGCGAAGCUAUUGAUCAAGAUAUUCUUCAAUUACAGAAGGAACUUCACCAACAGGUCACUGAAAAAGGAAAGGGCUUAAUGAAACUCAUUCCAGCAGUAGAAGAGGGCAGGGAAAUAGAACAACGAGCCCUUGAGCAAGUUGCUAUGGAAAAACUUGUUGAGUUGGCUUAUAAGAAGAAGCUGGCCACCCGUGGAAGUAGUGCCGCAAGAAAUGGCCUUACUAAGGUUGCAAAGCUAGUUGCUUUGGCUUUCAUGAAGAGGACACUAGCUAGAUGCAGGAAAUUUGUGGAAAUUGGGAGGAGUUGCUUUCUGGAGCCUGUCUUUAAAGAUGUGCUAUAUAAAAAUGUGUUGUUUCAAGCUUUACAGGAGUUUUCUAAGAGGAAGGACAAUGGGAAGAUGGCUGAAGGAUCAAAAGGAGAGGAAAAAAGCAGGAAAUUAGGACACAUAAUGCUCAGUUGCAUGCUGCAGUAUUCGUGGCAAGCAUAGCUGAUGCCGUUGUGGCCAUUGUAGCUUCAAUAGAGUGUACAUUGUAGAAUCAAUAGAGUGUACAUAGCAGCCAUAAGAAAGUGUACAUAGCUGCCAUAAAGUUCUACACUUACCAUAUGAGUGGUCUCUAGCUUAGCUUGCAUUAUUCAAGAAAUUUUAGAAAAUUCUAAGGAUACUACUCUACUAAUGUUUGAGCCAUGGAUGUAAUUUUCACUCCAUAUGGAUGUAUAACUGUAUAUUAUUGAAUAAGUAGAGUUAUAUGCAAAGAAAUAUUAUAUAGAUAAUCUAUUUUU